GUGUCAGCCGCCGCGGUAAUACGAAGGGGGCGAGCGUUGUUCGGAUUUACUGGGCGUAAAGGGCGCGUAGGCGGCCCUCCUUGUCGCGUGUGAAAGCCCCGGGCUCAACCUGGGAAUGGCGCGCGAAACGGGGGGGCUGGAGUUCGGGAGAGGAGCGUGGAAUUCCCAGUGUAGAGGUGAAAUUCGUAGAUAUUGGGAAGAACACCGGUGGCGAAGGCGGCGCUCUGGACCGAGACUGACGCUGAGGCGCGAAAGCGUGGGGAGCAAACAGGAUUAGAUACCCUGGUAGUCC
rnacentral:rRNA from 1 species